rnacentral:rRNA from 1 species
AACGAACGCUGGCGGCAUGCCUAACACAUGCAAGUCGAACGAGACCUUCGGGUCUAGUGGCGCACGGGUGCGUAACGCGUGGGAACCUGCCCUUAGGUUCGGAAUAACUCCCCGAAAGGGGUGCUAAUACAGGAUAAUGUCUUCGGACCAAAGAUUUAUCGCGUUUGGAUGGGCCCGCGUUGGUUUAGCUAGUUGCGAGUGUAAAAGCCUACCAAGGCGACGAUCCAUAGCUGGUAUGAGAGGAUGAGCAGCCACAGUGGGACUGAGACACGGCCGAGACUCUUAGAGGAUGGAGCAGAGGGGAAUAUUGGACAAGGGGGGAAGGCCUGAACGAGCAAUGCCUGGAAAGUGAUGAAGUCGUGAAGGAUAUGAAGCACGUUUACCCGGGGUGAUAAUGACAGUACCGAGAGAAUAAGCACCGGCUAACUCCGUG